AGCCCAGCCACAGCAAUUCAGGGAGCCCCGCUCCCCAAACUCAUUACUAAAAUGGACAAAUCCGCUAUAUGACCACCAUCUUAAAAUGGAACCUGUUUUUUGGUGGAGAUGUGGAAGGUCUGUACCUAUAUUGGAGGACACAUUGGGACAAUAAAAGCGUUCUUAUAAGCUGGCCACAGACCAACUUUCCUCCAACCCCUACAACUGACCAACCGUCCAACUUUUCUCUCCAACUAAAACGAUGCUCCACACACCUAACCAACUGUUUCAUUAGUCCAGCCAAUUUCUGACAAAUGUGUGAUGCUACAGAAGUAGGCGGACAGUGUUUUUAAAUAAAUAAAUAAAUGUUUGUUAAAAUGUUGAA